GACAGAGGAUGCAAGCGUUAUCCGGAAUGAUUGGGCGUAAAGCGUCUGUAGGUGGCUUUUUAAGUCCGCCGUCAAAUCCCAGGGCUCAACCCUGGACAGGCGGUGGAAACUACCAAGCUGGAGUACGGUAGGGGCAGAGGGAAUUUCCGGUGGAGCGGUGAAAUGCAUAGAUAUCUACCAGAACGCCGAUAGCGAAGGCAGCUCGCUGGGGACGUACCGACGCUGAGGCACGAUAGCGUGGGGAUCAAACAGG
rnacentral:rRNA from 1 species